rnacentral:rRNA from 1 species
UACAGAGGGUGCAAGCGUUGUUCGGAAUUACUGGGCGUAAAGCGCGUGUAGGCGGUCUCGCAAGUCGGGUGUGAAAGCCCUUGGCUCAACCAAGGAACUGCAUUCGAAACUACGAGACUAGAGUAUCGGAGGGGGUGGCGGAAUUCCCGGUGUAGAGGUGAAAUUCGUAGAUAUCGGGAGGAACACCUGUGGCGAAGGCGGCCACCUGGAAGAUAACUGACGCUGAGACGCGAAAGCGUGGGGAGCGAACAGG